GCUGGGCAUGGUGGCGUGUGCCUGUAGUCCCAGCUACUUGGGAGGCUGAGGCAGAAGAAUCACUUGAACCCAGGAGAUGGGGGUUGCAGUGAGCCAAGAUGAUGCCACUGCACUCCAGCCUGGGUGACAGAGUGAGACUCUAUCUCAA
ensembl:misc_RNA Metazoa_SRP Metazoan signal recognition particle RNA